rnacentral:rRNA from 1 species
GCUUGCUGGGUGGAUUAGUGGCGAACGGGUGAGUAACACGUGAGCAACCUGCCCCUCACUCUGGGAUAAGCGCUGGAAACGGCGUCUAAUACUGGAUACGAGUCGCAACCGCAUGGUUAGUGACUGGAAAGAUUUUUUGGUGGGGGAUGGGCUCGCGGCCUAUCAGCUUGUUGGUGAGGUAAUGGCUCACCAAGGCGUCGACGGGUAGCCGGCCUGAGAGGGUGACCGGCCACACUGGGACUGAGACACGGCCCAGACUCCUACGGGAGGCAGCAGUGGGGAAUAUUGCACAAUGGGCGGAAGCCUGAUGCAGCAACGCCGCGUGAGGGAUGACGGCCUUCGGGUUGUAAACCUCUUUUAGCAGGGAAGAAGCGAAAGUGACGGUACCUGCAGAAAAAGCACCGGCUAACUACGUGCCAGCAGCCGCGGUAAUACGUAGGGUGCAAGCGUUAUCCGGAAUUAUUGGGCGUAAAGAGCUCGUAGGCGGUUUGUCGCGUCUGCUGUGAAAUCCCGAGGCUCAACCUCGGGCCUGCAGUGGGUACGGGCAGACUAGAGUGCGGUAGGGGAGAUUGGAAUUCCUGGUGUAGCGGUGGAAUGCGCAGAUAUCAGGAGGAACACCGAUGGCGAAGGCAGAUCUCUGGGCCGUAACUGACGCUGAGGAGCGAAAGGGUGGGGAGCAAACAGGCUUAGAUACCCUGGUAGUCCACCCCGUAAACGUUGGGAACUAGUUGUGGGGUCCUUUCCACGGAUUCCGUGACGCAGCUAACGCAUUAAGUUCCCCGCCUGGGGAGUACGGCCGCAAGGCUAAAACUCAAAGGAAUUGACGGGGACCCGCACAAGCGGCGGAGCAUGCGGAUUAAUUCGAUGCAACGCG